AAUUCACUGCCUUGAUCCACUUGGCUACAUCCGCC
rnacentral:tRNA from 1 species